AUGUUGAAAAGGCCAUGUGCAAAUCUCCAGACUCUCCUGCACUGCCAUCAGUUCCUUCCAGAUGGUGAAGUCCCAUCAUCUAGGACGCUGGAUAACUUUGGUACUAUGGCUGGUGUGAUGCCAUCUGCCCAGAGCCUAGUACAUGCCAAUGGUGUGUCCUUGAACCUCCAGAACUGUGAAGAGUCAUUGUUGAGACUGACUAGUAGAGACCCAGCUCCGUUUAACAGGAAAUGUAUUAGCACACAAAAAUGGAAGGUAAAAGAUGAGACACACAUCCGAGUUGGCUCAUCCAAUGACUCGAUGUCGUCAGUGGUUCUGGGCAUGCUCGUCUGCUGUGCUGUUGGCCACGUGCGUUUCAUGCUGAUUGGAAUUUCUCUCAUGGCAAUGGGAUGAUCCUGAGCCUUAGAAGCAGUAUUGGCAAGAAGAAAGACUUUGACUCAGUGAUUUUCUGUCGGGCGUAGAGAAAAUAACACAGAGAAAACGAAUGCUGAGAGAGCAAACAAGAGAGUACAUAAAAGGGAGAACUGCACAAAAUCUGCAUUUUGACAGUAGAGCAAAUAGCUGGGCUUUAGAAGUGUACAUGUACGACUAAAACUCAAGGCUUACACAAAAUAUCCCCAUCAUUUGGGGAUAUGAAUAAUGGGAAAAACUUCAGAAACUACUAUUUUUACUUAUUAUUUAAAAUAUCUUCAGUUUAUGUACACUAGAAGAUGUGGUAGAGUUGUGUUUGCUGGACAGGUGUGUGUAAAAUGAUGACUUCUUAGUUUCCAAGCAGUAGCUCAGAAGCAGAAGUCUCCAAAUCCUUGGAAUAGGCCUUAGAAAAUUCAAAGCCACAAGACAGUGAAUGGUGUGACCGUUUCAUGUGUGCAGCAUGGCUGUCACGAAGGCAUCAAGCAUCAGUUCUCAGAAACUUCCUGCUAAUCGAACAGGAGAGCACCAUGGAGUGCUCAUCCAAGGAACAUUGCCUUACAUGUUUGUGGUGGUGUGGAAGUUGAAAUUGCCUAGAGAGUAUGGACAAAACUGAUUUAGAGGAGUUGGACUCACAGUCAUUGGUGACAAUAUAUUUUGCUUAGAGUUUCCUUCUUUUGUAUGCACAAUAGAAGGAUAAAACUGUCUAAAUUAUUCCUAAAAAGAUUAUUCAGGGGCAGACAUGGCCUAGCAAGUUAAGCCCCUGCUUGCUGCAUGCCUACUACUGUAUCAGAGUGCCUACUUUGAGCCUCAGCUACUCCACUUCCAAUCCAGCUUCCUGCAAUACUCAUUCCGAGAGGCAGCAGAUAAUAGCACAAGCACUUGAGUUCCUGCCACCUGCAUGGGAGAUCUGGAUAGAGUUCCUGGUUCUUAGCUUUGUCAUGGCCCAGCCUUAGCUCCUGGCUUCAGCUUGGCCCAACCCUGACCGCUGUGGCCAUUUGGAGAGUGGACCAGUGGAUGGAAGACACCUCUCUCUUUCUCUGUCACUCUGUCUUUGAAAUAAAUAAAAGACUUUAAAAUGAUUAUUUAUAAAU
rnacentral:lncRNA from 1 species